AGCUAGACGGCGGGGUAACGGCCCACCGUGGCGACGAUGCGUAGGGGUUCUGAGAGGAAGGUCCCCCACACUGGUACUGAGACACGGACCAGACUCCUACGGGAGGCAGCAGUGAGGAAUAUUGGUCAAUGGGAGAGAUCCUGAACCAGCCAAGCCGCGUGAGGGAAGACGGCCCUAUGGGUUGUAAACCUCUUUUGUCGGAGAACAAAACCCGGGACGUGUCCCGGACUGCGUGUAUCCGAAGAAAAAGCAUCGGCUAACUCCGUGCCAGCAGCCGCGGUAAUACGGAGGAUGCGAGCGUUAUCCGGAUUUAUUGGGUUUAAAGGGUGCGUAGGCGGUCCGUUAAGUCAGCGGUAAAAUUGCGGGGCUCAACCCCGUCGAGCCGUUGAAACUGGCAGACUUGAGUUGGCGAGAAGUACGCGGAAUGCGCGGUGUAGCGGUGAAAUGCAUAGAUAUCGCGCAGAACUCCGAUUGCGAAGGCAGCGUACCGGCGCCAGACUGACGCUGAGGCACGAAAGCGUGGGGAUCGAACAGGAUUAGAUACCCUGGUAGUCCACGCAGUAAACGAUGAAUGCUGGUUGUCCGGGUCGAAUGAGACCUGG
rnacentral:rRNA from 1 species